AGCUCCAAUAGCGUAUAUUAAAGUUGUUGCAGUUAAAAAGCUCGUAGUUGAAUUUUGGGCUCUGCUGGGUGGUCAUGCCUCACGGUAUGUACUGCUCUGGUGGAGUCUUUCCUUCUAGUAAACUAUUGUGCUAUUUAUUUAGUGCUUUAGGGAGCCAGGACUUUUACUUUGAAAAAAUUAGAGUGUUUAAAGCAGGCGUUUGCUUGAAUACAUUAGCAUGGAAUAAUAGAAUAGGACUUUGGUUCUAUUU
rnacentral:rRNA from 1 species